UACGGAAUGUGCAAACGUUAUUCGGAAUCACUGGGCUUAAAGAGUCCGUAGGCGGCCUGUUAGGUGAGGUGUGAAAUCCCUCGGCCCAACCGAGGAAUUGCGCUUCAAACCGGCAGGCUUGAGGAGGAUAGAGGUGGGCGGAACUGAUGGUGGAGCGGUGAAAUGCGUUGAUAUCAUCAGGAACACCGGUGGCGAAAGCGGCUCACUGGACCGAAUCUGACACUGAGGUGCGAAAGCUAGGGUAGCAAACGGG
rnacentral:rRNA from 1 species